rnacentral:pre_miRNA from 1 species
GGAAACUUAGAAACUACCGUUAAAUAAAAAAAUAAACGUCCGAGAUUUGUCCAUGUCAUCACGAGUAAAACUUUUACUCGCAGAUUCACUCACCAGUGAAAAUUUUACUGGUGACGUGGAUAAAUCUCAUACGUUCAUUUUUUAUCCAACGAUAGUUUUCAAGUUUUC